UGCAGUCGAGCGGUAAGGCCCUUCGGGGUACACGAGCGGCGAACGGGUGAGUAACACGUGAGCAACCUGCCCCUGACUCCGGGAUAAGCGGUGGAAACGCCGUCUAAUACCGGAUACGACCCUCCUCCGCAUGGUGGGGGGUGGAAAGUUUUUUCGGUCGGGGAUGGGCUCGCGGCCUAUCAGCUUGUUGGUGGGGUAACGGCCUACCAAGGCGAUUACGGGUAGCCGGCCUGAGAGGGCGACCGGCCACACUGGGACUGAGACACGGCCCAGACUCCUGCGGGAGGCAGCAGUGGGGAAUAUUGCGCAAUGGGCGAAAGCCUGACGCAGCGACGCCGCGUGGGGGAUGACGGCCUUCGGGUUGUAAACCUCUUUUACCACUCACGCAGGCCCCACGUUUUCGUGGGGUUGACGGUAGGUGGGGAAUAAGGACCGGCUAACUACGUGCCAGCAGCCGCGGUAAUACGUAGGGUCCGAGCGUUGUCCGGAAUUAUUGGGCGUAAAGAGCUCGUAGGCGGCGUGUCGCGUCUGCUGUGAAAGACCGGGGCUUAACCCCGGUUCUGCAGUGGAUACGGGCAUGCUAGAGGUAGGUAGGGGAGACUGGAAUUCCUGGUGUAGCGGUGAAAUGCGCAGAUAUCAGGAGGAACACCGGUGGCGAAGGCGGGUCUCUGGGCCUUACCUGACGCUGAGGAGCGAAAGCAUGGGGAGCGAACAGGAUUAGAUACCCUGGUAGUCCAUGCCGUAAACGUUGGGCGCUAGGUGUGGGGACUUUCCACGGUUUCCGCGCCGUAGCUAACGCAUUAAGCGCCCCGCCUGGGGAGUACGGCCGCAAGGCUAAAACUCAAAGGAAUUGACGGGGGCCCGCACAAGCGGCGGAGCAUGUUGCUUAAUUCGACGCAACGCGAAGAACCUUACCAAGGUUUGACAUCACCCGUGGACCUGUAGAGAUACAGGGUCAUUUGGUUGGCGGGUGACAGGUGGUGCAUGGCUGUCGUCAGCUCGUGUCGUGAGAUGUUGGGUUAAGUCCCGCAACGAGCGCAACCCUUGUUCCAUGUUGCCAGCACGUAAUGGUGGGGACUCAUGGGAGACUGCCGGGGUCAACUCGGAGGAAGGUGGGGACGACGUCAAGUCAUCAUGCCCCUUAUGUCUUGGGCUGCAAACAUGCUACAAUGGCCGGUACAAUGGGCGUGCGAUACCGUGAGGUGGAGCGAAUCCCUAAAAGCCGGUCUCAGUUCGGAUUGGGGUCUGCAACUCGACCCCAUGAAGG
rnacentral:rRNA from 1 species